GGCGCUGUGGCUUAGUUGGUUAAAGCGCCUGUCUAGUAAACAGGAGAUCCUGAGUUCUUUCAAAACCCUAA